AGCAGUAGCCGCGGUAAUACGUAGGGUGCGAGCGUUAAUCGGAAUUACUGGGCGUAAAGCGUGCGCAGGCGGUUUUGUAAGACAGGCGUGAAAUCCCCGGGCUCAACCUGGGAAUGGCGCUUGUGACUGCAAAGCUAGAGUGCGGCAGAGGGGGAUGGAAUUCCGCGUGUAGCAGUGAAAUGCGUAGAUAUGCGGAGGAACACCGAUGGCGAAGGCGAUCCCCUGGGCCUGCACUGACGCUCAUGCACGAAAGCGUGGGGAGCAAACAGGAUUAGAUACCCGAGUAGUCCCUGUCUCUUAUAC
rnacentral:rRNA from 1 species